rnacentral:lncRNA from 1 species
CAGCAUCACAGCCACGGCGGCCAGUAUCGGGGCAGCUGGGAUCCCUCAGGCGGGCCUGGUCACUAUGGUCAUCGUGCUGACAUCCGUGGGCCUGCCCACUGACGACAUCACGCUCAUCAUCGCGGUGGACUGGUUCCUGGAUCGGCUUCGCACCACAACCAAUGUCUUGGGAGACUCCCUGGGAGCCGGCAUUGUUGAACACUUGUCCCGACAUGAACUGAAGAACCGGGAUGUCGAAAUGGGCAACUCAGUGAUCGAAGAGAAUGAAAUGAAGAAACCAUAUCAGCUGAUUGCCCAGGAAAGCGAAAUCGAGAAACCCAUCGACAGUGAAACCAAGAUGUAGACGGACAUAAAAUGUUUCCUUGAGCACCCGGUGUUUGAAAACCGCUAUGACAUGUCUCCAUCUCGUUACAACUCAUUCUCUCCAGUAAGCCCCCUACCUCCCUUUUCCUCUCUACCCUGAUAGGAUUGGGAAGAAUUCAUCCCAAAACAAGGGAGGAUUUUGCAGUGGCCCAAAUGUGUAGUUCUCAUCCCACGUUUGAAAUGUUUCCAUCAUGUCAUGCUAGUCUUAUCUAUUAAGGUCCUGCGAUCAGAAAUGGUCUUGGAUCUUAAAAGUUGAUGUGGCACACAAUCCUGUAAAUGUGAUCAUUCUUAUAAAUUAAAGCGUCAAAACAAAUAGUAAGCUGAAGACAUAGUUUUAAAUCAACCUUCAAAAUUUACAAAUCCUUCAGGAUACAAUUCAGUUUUAGUAUCAGAACACAGCAACCUGAUAAGCAGUGGGUUCUCAGUUGGACAUUGGAAGAGGUUUUUUUUUUUCCUCCCAUUCUCUUGAGAUUUGUGUCUUUAUUUUACCAGUAGCAGGACAAUAGAAAUACACAACUAGCACAGCCGUGAGGAGGCAUGUAAAGUGAAAUUUCCCUGUGGCUGUGGGCAAGUCUCGUCUCUAGGUCUCAGUGUUUUCAUCUGCAAAAGGAACGAGUUGUCUAGAUGUCCUUAUGGUUGAUUCUAGCCCAGAGGUACUGAGGCGCCAUGGAAGAGCCUGCCCUCUACUCCCCCUUGGGACAUCCCAUGGCAAGUAUCAUUCCACAGAGCAUGGGACUUUCAGCAGAGAGUUGUUGGGAGUGACCAUUUCUAGGGAGGGGCAGGGUGGCUGUGCAGUUUACCAGGUUCCAUGUCCAGAAUGGCAGAGUCAGCAGGCUGGAGGCCAUUCCAGGAGUGGAUGUGCUCCCCCAAACUCUGCCUUGAUCUUCCCAACAGGGGAUCCAUUCCCUUCACUCUUCCCAAACUAAAGGGAACCACGCUAGGAAGAGUGUCUCCCACCACUCCUCAACUGAUGAUAGACCUUUAGAAAAUACCACGCAAGACUAGCAACUAGCAAGCAUGCUCAUGGUCUUACUAUGGAACAGUAAAGAGCCAGCCAGGAAAGAGUGGAGCAUGGUUGACGUGAUAAAGAGAGGAUUUUAGAAUACCAAGGUUAUACGUCAUCUUUAAGGAAGAGUUUUUUAGAAGGAGAGAUUCUUAAAAGAAAAAAAAAACAACAAACCUGAAACUUUUUCUCUUCAGUUCAAAAAUCAUUCCCUAAGGAAGUCUGCAAAUCAAAAUAUAAGGUCACAUGUAUUUUCAAAUCAAAUCAAUGAGCUCUCUCUACUAGAGGCCCAUGAGCUGCAUGGGUGGUCUCUUAUUUGAAAAAGUUUGUUUUUUUUUUUUUUUUUUUUUUUUUUACUAUAAUCAAAAGUUCUUAGAAUGAGAGAAACAGGAUAUUUCUUUGUGUUGGAAUUCCACUCACCAAAUCUUUCGAAACCUUCAGCUGGAAUGGGAAUUAUUUUGGUUUUGUUUGUGUCCCUGGGAGAAAUGGUAGAAGAAGCAUCAGUAUGAAGCCACAUCAGUGGGGUUCCAAGAGGGGAGAAAAAAAGAGGCCUUAGUUUCAGGUGAGGCAGCUACCAGGUUUAAAGGAGAUUAAUAUUUGUACUCUAAGGAAUAUCCAGUCAAAGAUGCAGAGCGGGAGCUGUCAGACAAUACCAGCUGUGUUUGAAUUACUCAUGUAAAUGGUGAAGAAUGGACUUAAUUAUGCUAACAGACUGAAAAUCUAGACCGCCAUCCUCUGAUAUACAAUUAGAGAUGUUUUUAUAUAGAUCGCCAGCAUUAUGUGUGUACAAAAGUUAACGUUAGGCUGUGGUGGAGUAACCAUUUAAUGUCAAGGCUCUAUUUGGGAAAUACACUACAGAAGUUAAUGUACAAGGCUGUGAUCUUAUGACACCAGUAGAGCAAAACGUAAUCGUGUCAGAUUAAUUCUGUUACACAGUGUGAUUUAUUUUUUUUUUUAUACUAACCAUUUCUUACGGAAAGCAGGUCCUUCGGGAUGACCCUCUCGCCAGCCCAUCACGGGCUCUGCAUAUUACAUGCAGCCGGUGUGGACUGAGAAGCAUUACUUUGUAGAUGUGUUUUCAAUAAAGAAACCAAAUUAGUUUUACA